rnacentral:rRNA from 1 species
UUAGGUUAUGCCUGUUUGGUUUUAGGUUGGGGUGACCACGGAGUAUAAAACAACCUCCAUGAAAAAAGGACCAAAAAUCCUUAUUAGAGAAAGACAUUUCUAAAAUUAAUAAAUUAAUUUUUAAUGAUCCGAUAUUCGAUCAACGAACCAAGUUACCCUGGGGAUAACAGCGCAAUCCACUUCAAGAGCUCCUAUCGACAAGUGGGUUUACGACCUCGAUGUUGGAUCAGGGUAUCCUAGUGGUGCAGCAGCUACUAACGGUUCGUUUGUUCAACGAUUAAAACCCU